rnacentral:rRNA from 1 species
AGAGGAUGGCCAGCCACACUGGAACUGAGACACGGUCCAGACUCCUACGGGAGGCAGCAGUGGGGAAUAUUGGACAAUGGGGGCAACCCUGAUCCAGCAAUGCCGCGUGUGUGAAGAAGGCCUGAGGGUUGUAAAGCACUUUCAGUGGGGAGGAGGAUUGUUUGGUUAAGAGCUGAAUAAUUGGACGUUACCCACAGAAGAAGCACCGGCUAACUCCGUGCCAGCAGCCGCGGUAAUACGGAGGGUGCGAGCGUUAAUCGGAAUUACUGGGCGUAAAGGGUGCGUAGGUGGUUUGAUAAGUUAUCUGUGAAAGCCCUGGGCUCAACCUGGGAAGGCCAGAUAAGACUGUUAGACUUGAGUAUGGGAGAGGGUAGUGGAAUUUCCGGUGUAGCGGUGAAAUGCGUAGAGAUCGGAAGGAACACCAGUGGCGAAGGCGGCUACCUGGCCUAAUACUGACACUGAAGCACGAAAGCGUGGGGAGCAAACAGGAUUAGAUACCCUGGUAGUCCACGCCGUAAACGAUGUCAACUAGCUGUUGGUCAUAUGAAUGUGAUUAGU